rnacentral:rRNA from 1 species
GUGCACCAGGCGAGAAUUUUCUCAAUGGGGGAAACCCUGAAGGAGCGACGCCGCGUGGAGGAUGAAGGUCUUCGGAUUGUAAACUCCUGUCAUUUGGGAACAAGUUGCGUCGAUUAACUGUCGAUGCAUUGAUAGUACCAGAAGAGGAAGAGACGGCUAACUCUGUGCCAGCAGCCGCGGUAAUACAGAGGUCUCAAGCGUUGUUCGGAUUCAUUGGGCGUAAAGGGUGCGUAGGUGGCGGGGUAAGUCAGGUGUGAAAUCUCGAGGCUCAACCUCGAAACUGCACUUGAUACUGCCUUGCUAGAGUACUGGAGAGGAGAUUGGAAUUUACGGUGUAGCAGUGAAAUGCGUAGAUAUCGUAAGGAAGACCAGUGGCGAAGGCGAAUCUCUGGACAGUUACUGACACUGAGGCACGAAGGCCAGGGGAGCAAACGGGAUUAGAUACCCGGGUAGU